GAUGAACGCUGGCGGCGUGCCUAAUACAUGCAAGUCGAGCGAACAGAUGAUGAGCUUGCUCCUCUGACGUUAGCGGCGGACGGGUGAGUAACACGUUGAUAACCUACCUAUAAGACUGGGAUAACUUCGGGAAACCGGAGCUAAUACCGGAUAAUAUAUUGAACCUCAUUGUUCAAUAGUGAAAGACGGUUUUGCUGUCACUUAUAGAUGGAUCCGCGCCGCAUUAGCUAGUUGGUAAGGUAACGGCUUACCAAGGCAACGAUGCGUAGCCGACCUGAGAGGGUGUUCGGCCACCCUGGACCUGAGACACGGUCAAGACUCCUACGGGAGGCAGCAGUAGGGAAUCUUAGGCAAUGGGCGAAAGCCUGACGGAGCAACGCCGCGUGAGUGAUGAAGGUCUUCGGAUCGUAAGACUCUGUUAUUAGGGAAGAACAAAUGUGUAAGUAACUAUGCACGUCUUGACGGUACCUAAUCAGAAAGCCACGGCUAACUACGUG
rnacentral:rRNA from 1 species